rnacentral:rRNA from 1 species
UUUCGCAAUGCCCGAAAGGGUGACGAAGCGACGCCGCGUGUGGGAAGAAGGCCUUCGGGUUGUAAACCACUGUCGGGAGUUAAGAAAUGCAAGGAUAUGAAUAGUGUCUUUGUUUGACUAAGGCUCCGGAGGAAGCCACGGCUAACUCUGUGCCAGCAGCCGCGGUAAUACAGAGGCGGCAAGCGUUGUUCGGAAUUAUUGGGCGUAAAGAGCACGUAGGCGGCUAUGUAAGUCGGUUGUGAAAGCCUUCCGCUCAACGGGAGAACAGCAUCCGAUACUACAUGGCUUGAGUGCGGGAGGGGAGAGUGGAACUUCUGGUGGAGCGGUGAAAUGCGUAGAUAUCAGAAGGAACGCCGGCGGCGAAAGCGGCUCUCUGGCCCAUAACUGACGCUGAGUGUGCGAAAGCUAGGGGAGCAAACGGGAUUAGAUACCCCGGUAGUCCUAGCCGUAAACGAUGGGCACUAAGUAGAGGGGUUUU